rnacentral:rRNA from 1 species
UACGUAGGUGGCAAGCGUUGUCCGGAAUUAUUGGGCGUAAAGCGCGCGCAGGCGGAUCAGUGAGUCUGUCUUAAAAGCUCGGGGCUUAACCGGGUGAUGGGAUGGAAACUGCUGAUCUAGAGUAUCGGAGAGGAAGGUGGAAUUCCUAGUGUAGCGGUGAAAUGCGUAGAUAUGAGGAAGAACACCAGUGGCGAAGGCGACUUUCUGGACGAAAACUGACGCUGAGGCGCGAGAGCGUGGGGAGCGAACGGG